UAGGGAAUCUUCCACAAUGGACGAAAGUCUGAUGGAGCAACGCCGCGUGAGUGAAGAAGGUUUUCGGAUCGUAAAGCUCUGUUGUUGGUGAAGAAGGAUAGAGGCAGUAACUGGUCUUUAUUUGACGGUAAUCAACCAGAAAGUCACGGCUAACUACGUGCCAGCAGCCGCGGUAAUACGUAGGUGGCAAGCGUUGUCCGGAUUUAUUGGGCGUAAAGCGAGCGCAGGCGGAAUGAUAAGUCUGAUGUGAAAGCCCACGGCUCAACCGUGGAACUGCAUCGGAAACUGUCAUUCUUGAGUGCGGAAGAGGAGAGUGGAACUCCAUGUGUAGCGGUGGAAUGCGUAGAUAUAUGGAAGAACACCAGUGGCGAAGGCGGCUCUCUGGUCUGCAACUGACGCUGAGGCUCGAAAGCAUGGGUAGCGAACAGGAUUAGAUACCCUGGUAGUCCAUGCCGUAAACGAUGAGCGCUAGGUGUUGGGGACUUUCCGGUCCUCAGUGCCGCAGCAAA
rnacentral:rRNA from 1 species